rnacentral:rRNA from 1 species
CAACCUACAACGAUGGAUCUCUUGGCUCCGGCAUCGAUGAAGAACGCAGCGAAAUGCGAGACGUAAUGCGAAUUGCAGAUCUACGCGAGUCAUCAAAUCUUUGAACGCAUAUUGCGCCCUCUGGCAUUCCGGAGGGCACGCCCGUCCGAGCGUCAUUU